CAACCUUGUACAGAGGUCACAGUCAUGGGUGGUGUCUUCCUUGGGCUGAGUACAGGGGCAGCACCCUGGGGAACUUAUCCACACAGGUAAAGAGUAGCGGGGAAACAACUGCAAUGAAAUGCUGUUGGCUUCCAAAAGGGAACAUGGAUGGAAUAGGAUAUCUUCUUGGUCAGCUCAAACAACUCACACUGCAAAUGGAUACCAGCACACCAGCGCUCUGCUAAGGCAAAGACUUUCUGGGCCACUUUUACAGUGUGAAUUUUUCCAUUCCUGGAAUCACAGAUGCUAUGAAGAAUUCCCCAAUAUCACUGCCAAAAGGGAGCUGGAGGAGAGAAAGAGAAGAGAGGCUUUUUUUGCUGGGGAAGUCCUGUUGGCCAAUGUUGUGCCAGUGGGAAUUGCUGGCUGGAGAGUUUCAGAGAGAAUGUUGCUUCAACUGCCAAGAGAACUAGAGAUCAGGACAUUACAAAGUCCUAAUGAAGAUGAAUUCUAAUGGAUGGAUGGAUAUAGGCUGAUAUGCUAAUAUACCUGUUUAACCUGAUAGAUGUUAAUGCUGAUGACAAGUUCAUAAAUAUAUUUGGAUCUACAUUUAUCAUUUUGCUGCAGUGUGUUAAAAAUUUGAUUAUUAUUAUAUUGAAUCCUUCAAAAAGCUGUUGCUAACCACAGCUUCAAACUCCCAGACUUGCUAAGUGUCAGUUCUGUCAUAUACAAAAUAUUGCAACAUAUUAUUAUAAAUUUUUAUCCUUAAUUACAACAGUCCUGACUUUUCAUCAUUAUCAGUCCUGUCACUGGGCAUGACACAUAUAAAUUACUAGUAUUAAUUUUAUUCAGAGUCCUAUUUACAGACUGAAGUCAGCAAAUUUAGAUUGCACCUAGAGACAAUGCAUUUUGCUCUUUUGCCUCAAACCAACGUCAACUCCCUAAAAAAUCAACUUCUACCUUAUAAGAAUGAUUGUGAAAUUAAAUAUGUUUGUAUACUGAGCUGAUUAGAAAUGAUAAAUGAAAAUUUGAGCUUCAGCUUACAACAUGCUGAGUAUUGGUACUUCCUAGAGAGGUCAGGUUCUCUUGGGGAUGCAGAUCCCCUGCAAUGUAGUUAGGAAUAAUAAUUUGUCCUCCUUGAUAAGAGCUGGCAGGCAUGCCAAUGUGAAUUGGAGACACUCCAUGGCCUGGAAAACCUAAAAAAGAACAAUUUUAUACUCAGGCUUGCUGCUGCCACAUCUGAAGAGCUGGGUCCAGUCUGGGCUCCACAGUACAGGAGGGCCAUGGAGCUCCUUGAGCAGGUCCAGUGGGGGGUUACAAGGAUGAUCUGGGGACUGGAGCAUCUCUCUUACAAGGGUUGGAGAAGGAAACUGUUCAGCCUGGAGAAGGCUGAGAGGGUUUUUCAUCAAUGAAUCUGUACUUAGGUAUCUGAAGGGGGUUGCCAAGAGAAUGGAGCCAGGCUCUCCUUGCUGGCUCCAAGCAUUGGGAUGAGAGGCAACAGGCAGAAUCUGAUGCACUGCAAAUUCCACCCAAAUAUAUGGAAGAAUUUUACUCUGUGGGUGUCUGAGUACUGGAACAGAUUUCCCAGAGAAGUUCUGGAGUCUCUCUCAUGGCAGAGAUUCAAAAGCUGUCUGGACACAACCCCAAGUGAUGUGUUCUAGGAAAAUCCUACUUGAGCAGAGAAUUUGGACUGUAUGGUGCCACCAGUGGUCCUUCCAAACCUUACCCAUGUUGUGAUCCUGUAAUUCCGUGAUCUUGUAGGAAUACCAAUAGUCUUCUGUGAUGAGCUUGUCUGAAGACAAUUUCACUUUCUAGCAUUUAACCACAGUGCACAAAGCUAAAAAAAAAUGUGGCUUUCUUGUAAUGGAUCCUAUGACAACUUGUCAUUAUUCAGCAUAAUUUACUAUGAAGCUAAUCUCUUUUUCAGAGUAUAUUCCGUGUUUGUCCUGAUUAUAGGCUGGUACCCUGCAUUACUGGUAGCAACCACAUUCUGAGCAACCUGAAAUUAUUUAUUUAUCCUUUAUCUUUGUGGUGUAGUUUCAUUGAGAGUCAAAACAUGGGUUGACAAGAGUGACUUGCUUGAGACCACACAAAGUCUGCAGCAGAGCUGGGAUCACAUCUUGUUUUGAGAGACAAACCUAGAAAGCAGCAGAGCUGGGAUCACAUCUUGUUUUGAGGGACAAACCCAGAAAUCUCCCCUGGUGGGAGGGGAGAAGGCAGUUCAUGUGAGGAUAAUCAGAGUGAAUUGUUGACCUGAGGCCUGUGGUCCUAUUCACUUACACAUACUCAGACUGUUUGUUGGCUGAUCUGGUUUGAGGUUAGUGUUCACACAUAUCCCCUCAGAAGUGAUAGUGUGCCUACAUGUAAGGUAGCUAGAAACAGGAUUUAAUUAGAAUAUAGGAUUGGCUGUGGUGAUCAAACACAGGGCUCAGCUAGAUCUGGCCAGCCCCUUUCAUCCAGUUUUUCCUUUGUUUUCACACAUUUCUUCCUCCUCAAUCACCUCAUAGAUUUCCUUCUCCCUUCCUGUAUUCUUUGCCCUAAACAUUGUGUGGUAAGUCUUGCAGGUUCCCAAAGUUCUGUUCCCAUUGCAUCCCUUCGUGUGUCCUAUACCAUAGGCAAUAAUCACCUUUAGUUUGCAAGGCAUCCGGGAGACAGUUUCUUGGCAGACUUCACAUCAGCUGCCAAGGUUUAGUCAGUUUUCUCUGAUGUGCUUGGGAGCAGCCAGUGUUGUGCAGUCCAUUUUCCCUGAUGAAGUUACUGAGGUUUCUCUGCCUUUGUUCUCCCUGCAUCUUUGAGUUAACAGGGAUUACACUUUUAAUCACGUAGCCCAACACAGAAAAGGUAAUGAGGAAUCACACUGGACCUUUUAUUCUGUGCUGGCUAAGAAACAGAGGUGCACAAAAUGCUUUUACAGACGAAGAGCUUCCCACUUAACCUCAGCAAACUAGAAGAUCCUGCCUUUUGGGAACUGCUAAGGAGGCUCCCAUCCACCUUGCUUUGCCUCUGCACCCCAAUUGCUGCAUGCAGUCAGGGUGAGUUGGCUGGAGCCCACCAAUGGUGAGAUGAUCACGCUGGGGUGUCACACUGGGACCCCAGGAAGGAAGAGCAGCAGCUGGAGAUUGGUGUCCUAGCAGGCAGAGAAAAUUCCCACAGCCACAUCCCUCAGGAGUCAGAAAUCACUCCUCCUUCUCAGACCCCCUUCCCAAGCUGACUGCUUUGUGGGAAAUAGCUAUCAGUGGUUAAUAUACAGCUGAAAAACUAACGGAAGCUACGUCUAAGUAUUCAAGUAAAAGCCUUAUUUUAAAUAAAAAAUUAAAUUCAUCAUUCCAAAUGCUGUGAAAUCCUUAUCAGUCAAUCUCCACAAGCUCCUCUGAGCAUGUUAAACAUGAAUAGUAAGAAUUCUGCUUGAAAUAUUAUUAUUGUGCAGAUUAGCUGAGUUCAGUUUUAGAAAUCAUUUGGCAGCUCUUUACUGCUAUAAACUGGCUUUAAUUCUUAGCUAAAAUACCUUCUGCACUAAGCCUUCCUCUUCGGCUCUUAAAUACAUGCUGCAUGCUUUUUAGAGAGUUAAACUUCAUUCUAUACACAUGCAGAUCUACUUAUGUACUUGACACACACACACAGGAGAAUACUUUACAACCAAAAGGUGCCACUUAAUGAACUGCCCAUGAAUUUUGCAUGAAAGCAGAAUGGCACGCGGUAGUGUGGGUUUCUUCCUGGUCAUCAUAUAUUGAAAAACGUUGUUCCUUAAAACAAGGCCCACUCCUGCACCCACUGAAGCCCAGUUGGGUCAGGAUUGGGCCCCGAGAUUGAAAAUGCAAUAUAAAUGUCCCAAAUGCUGUGCUUCAGAGCUUUACUGGAAUAGUAAACCCCACAGGCUGGUUCUGAUUUCCCUUUGUAUUUGGCACUUCCCCCUGUGCUGGGCACUGGUGAGGCCAGACUUCGAGUACUGCGUCCAGAUCUGGGCCUCUCAAUUCAGGAAGGACAUUGAGGUACUGGAGUGUGUCCAGAGAAGGGCAACAGAGCUGGGGAAGGAUCUGGAGCACAAGUCUUGUGAGGAGUGGCUGACAAAGCUGGGAUUGUGCAGCCUGAAGAAAAGGAAGGUCAAGGGAGAGUUUACCACUCCCUACAGCUGCCUGAAAGCUGCCAGGUGGGGGUUGGCCUCUUCUCCCAGCUGACCAGUAACAGGACGAGAGGACACAGUCUUAAACUGAGCCAGGGGAGGUUUAGGUUGGGUAUUAGGAGGAAUUUCUUCACAGAAAGGAUAAUAAGAUGUUGGAAUGGACUGCCCAGGGAGCUGGUGGAGUCACUGUCCCUGCAAAUGUUUAAGAAAAGACUGAACGUGGCAUUCAGUGCCAAGGUCUAGUUGACAGGUUGACAAGGUGAAGUUUGGUCGUAAGUUGGACUUGAUGAUCUCAGCUUUUCCAAUGUGAUUCUGACUGACUGGCUAUGGAAAUACCUCGUCUUCCAGUUAGGGAAUGAAGCCUAGAAGAGCAUGCAGCAGAAGACGUAAUGGGAGCUUUUUGAAAGCAGUAUACCCCAUUGACAUUGUAUCAGGUGUUGAGCGAGCAUUUAUGCCCCUGCGCGUCCGCAGGGGCGCAGCUCUGACCCAAACUCUUUCAGGUGCUCCUAAAGGGCUCCCGUCCGCCGCUGCACGGCGAGCGGAGAGUUUGCUGUAGGACACGCGAACGCCACCGCAGCGCGG
rnacentral:lncRNA from 1 species